CAGUCGCCACGGUAAUACGGAGGGUGCAAGCGUUAAUCGGAAUUACUGGGCGUAAAGCGUGCGUAGGCGGUUCGUUAAGUCUGUUGUGAAAGCCCCGGGCUCAACCUGGGAAUGGCAAUGGAUACUGGCGAGCUAGAGUGUGUCAGAGGAUGGUGGAAUUCCCGGUGUAGCGGUGAAAUGCGUAGAGAUCGGGAGGAACAUCAGUGGCGAAGGCGGCCAUCUGGGACAACACUGACGCUGAGGCACGAAAGCGUGGGGAGCAAACAGGAUUAGAGACCCCGGUAGUCCCUGUCUCUUAUAC
rnacentral:rRNA from 1 species